GACGUCACGCGUGCGCUACCGCCAUCUAUCGGCCGGCCGCCAUCGUCGCACACCUGCCUUCGCGCGACACGACCACCGACAUUCGCCAUCGCGCUCGCACCAGUGGCACGUAUAAAUAACCUAAAACGUCUGAUCGUGAAACAACCAAUCGUCCAAAAUAUUAUUCUCACGAUUAUAUCCACAGUGACAUUAACAGUAAAUGACAGUGUAGACGUGAUAUAAUAAGAAGUUUUGGAUUAAACCCGCAGUGAUUUUGCCUUGUGAUUUUAUCAAUAGAAAGUUUGUAAGGACAAAUGAUAGUUUUGGUGGGCUGUCGACGGGCAGCCCCCAAAUAUUGUGCCAGUAUGUGGUGGUUUAUAUUUUUAUGUGUGAUUUACACUAAAACUAUAACUGUGUUCGGUUCGAAUAUCACAGGAGCAGUAUCUGGAAAUGUUUGUUCGCUGAAGCAGUUCCAGUGCGCCAACAAGAAAUGUAUACCGAUUACAUGGGUGUGUGAAGGGGAAAACGACUGCGGUGACAACUCAGAUGAAGAUAUAGAGGAAUGUAAAGAGACACGAACCUGCACUUCUUCCGAAUUUCGAUGCAAAACUGGUCGAUGUGUGCCGCUGUCUUGGCGUUGUGAUAAUGAAAAGGAUUGCUCCGACGGUUCUGACGAGGAACCCGGCACUUGUAAAGUGGAGGCGUGCGGUCCUGAAGAGUUCACGUGCAGGGGAAAACGAGGGGAAUGCGUGCCUCUCACGUGGAUGUGUGACGACAAUGUCGAUUGCUCCGAUGGGUCGGAUGAAAAAGCAUGCAAUGAGACAUGCCGAUCAGAUGAAUUUACUUGUGGAAAUGGCAAAUGCAUACAGCACCGGUGGGUUUGUGAUGGUGAUGAUGACUGUGGUGAUGGUACCGAUGAAGUCAAAUGCCCAGCACCAACUUGCCAACCGCAUAGUCACUUCUCGUGCGCCGACGGACAUUGUGUGACCGCUAGAUGGAGGUGCGAUGGAGACAUAGACUGUCCCGACGGAAGUGAUGAAAUGGGUUGCGCUUCAACACCAAAAAUUACAUCUCCGUGCAUAGCUACAGAGUUCGAAUGUCGUGAUCGAAUGACCUGCGUUCAUAGAGCCUGGGUCUGUGAUGGAGACCGUGACUGUCCGGACGGCGGUGACGAAGCCCCUGAAAUAUGCCGAGGAAACGUUACCUGCAGACUUGAUCAGUUCCAAUGCAAGGACCACAGCUGUAUUCCUGGCGCACUCUAUUGCAAUGGCGAUAAAGAUUGUCCCGACGGCAGUGAUGAGCUCAAUUGCACACGACCUAAGCCAAUUUGUGACAAGCGGACAGAAUUCGACUGCGGUGGUGGAAUGUGCAUACCACUGUCGAAAGUUUGCGACAAACACACAGACUGUCCGAACUUUGAGGACGAACCUGCUGACCGAUGUGGAGAAAAUGAAUGCGCCAAGAAUAAUGGCGGAUGCACUCAACGGUGCGUCGAUACUCCCGUUGGAUACUACUGUGAUUGCGAGAAAGGAUAUAAACUCACCGACAACAGAACUUGCGAAGAUGUGGACGAAUGCUUAGAUCCUGGAGCAUGCUCGCAAAUAUGCAUAAACGAAAAAGGUACAUUCAAAUGUGAAUGUCAUGCUGGUUACGCAAGGGACCCUCGUGAUAGAACUCGCUGCAAGGCGACCGAAGGCCACCCGUCUCUUCUGUUCGCAAGACGUUUCGACAUCAGAAAGAUUAGUCUUGAUCACCACGAAAUGGUAGCUAUCGUGAAUGACACGAAGUCGGCUACAGCACUUGACUACGUUUUCAGAACAGGCAUGAUAUUCUGGAGUGAUGUCACUGAUGAAAAGAUAUAUAAGGCACCCAUAGAUGAAGGGAGUCAGCGGACAGUCGUCAUAGGAGAUCAGCUGAUCACUUCGGAUGGACUCGCGGUAGACUGGAUCUACAAUCAUCUGUACUGGACAGACACCGGCAAAAACCAUAUAGAGCUAUCUGACCUGCAAGGCAAUAUGAGGAAGGUUCUCAUUAUAGACAAGCUUGAAGAGCCAAGAGCGAUAGCACUUAAUCCUCUUGACGGAUGGAUGUACUGGACCGACUGGGGCCAGGUUCCGAAAAUCGAGCGCGCUGGUAUGGACGGCUCCCACAGACAAACCAUAGUUGCGUAUGACGUGAAGUGGCCCAAUGGCCUCACUUUAGAUCUUGUACGCAAACGCGUUUAUUGGGUUGAUGCCAAAUUGAACACGAUUUCUUCUUGUAACUUCGAUGGAUCGGCGCGACGAGUGAUCCUGUACUCCACGGAUGUUCUUCGGCAUCCCUUCUCGAUCACCACUUUCGAAGAUUGGGUAUAUUGGACCGACUGGGACAAGACGGCCGUGUACCGCGCCAACAAAUUCAACGGAAAAGAUGUCGAAGCCAUCACAUCCACUCAUACGCUACAAAAUCCAAUGGUGAUUCACGUGUACCAUCCCUACCGUCAACCCGAUGGUGUCAACCACUGCGCUGCUGUCAACGGUCACUGUUCUCAUCUGUGCCUGCCUGCGCCUCGGAUAGGCGCCAAUUCCCCGAAAGUGUCCUGCGCCUGUCCCAACGGUCUACGACUCCUACCUGACAACCAGAUGUGCGUCGAAGACAGUGUUCCCGAAACACCCAAAGCUGGUACAGGAAUCUCAAGCAGUGGACGCGACGCAAGCGUUGUUGCUGGAGUCGUUGUUGCAGUAAUAUCGGGAAUUAUUAUACUCGCUGCUUUGAUCGCGGUUGUAAUGUACCGUCAUUACGUGCACCGCAAUGUAACAUCAAUGAACUUCGACAACCCCGUGUAUCGCAAAACAACAGAGAACCAGUUCUCCCUGGAGCAGAAUGGGUACGCACCUGGCAGCAAAUUAUACCCGAGUACCGUCGGCGAAGAGGUGAGAGCGUUAACUGCUAUGGAGUGCACGUUAAACAUACAGAACAGCCUUAGAUAAGUCGCUCGUAUAAACGCUACUGUCCUAAAGUGGAAUGGUGUAAAUGGAAGGAGUAGGCUACAGGAUCUACUUAGGUUUCUGUUUACGAUUUCUAUUUAUUCUACGCUCGAAAAAUUAUUUUUCAAUAUAUCAUAACUAAUUUUUACAUACAAUGAAACUAUACAACCCCUAUCUAUAUCUACUUAUGGCCAAAGUGUAAAUAGUAAAAAAAAAUAUUUAACUAGGUAAAAAUAGUGAACGGUAAGGUCUGCCUAAGACAUUUUAAAUUUGAUGUAUCUAGUCGUAAUAUAUUUACUAGGAUUUAUUUUAAGGAAUUUAUAGAUGAUAUUUUUUGUUAGUGUUAAGAUCGUGGCGAUAAAUUGUGCCAACGUUUUUACCGCAUCAGUAUUAAAAUAUAGUUGCCAAAAUUGGUAUUUGAUGGUAGGUUUAAUAUUGUACAUAAAAUAAUAUGUUUAUAUAUUUUCUGUAUGGUAAUUUGCGUAGUUAUCUAGACAAAUUUGUAAUACUGUACUGCUGAAAUAUUUAUUUUUCAUGCGUUUUCAUACGAGGGCACUGAUUAUUUGGCCCAGGAACCUCUCAACACGCCUGGUACAAAUGAGUUUGUAUAGUGCAAGAUCAGGAAGCAAAUAUAUUUGUAUGUUUUUAAAUGUGAAAAGAAAAAUAAGGACAUGUGAUACUCUGAAAAAUAGUGUAAAACCAGUGAAUGGGGACAUGGCUAACAAUAUCUAGUGAACGUGAAGUUAGCUUUAGUGCAGUGGAAAUUGUGGAGCGUAGGAACUAAGUUCCCACUGCUAACGAGUUUAUCAUUGAUGUGGAUCUCAAAAUUUCAAUAUUACUCUAAAUUGUCAUCCAUUUUUUUUUAACAUCUGAAAGUCUUGCUUUCAAAUUACUUGUAUCACAUAAUAUUUUAGAUAUUAGAAUGUCUCGGCUAUACAUUUUUCUUUAGCCCGUUUAUAUUUUUAGUAUUGCUAUAGCCAAUGGGAUUACAUGUUAAUCUGUGAUGGACAUAUCACAAGCUCUUGAUAAUAUAAUCAGAUAUAUAUUUCAUUUCUUACACUUAUCAAUGAUUCCUCACUAAAUAAUACUUUCCUAUGUAAUAUAAACUACGUCAAUUUAAUGUGUAAUUUUUUUGGGUAUCCCUGAACAAAUGCUUGAUGCAAUUAAAUUAUUUGUAAAAAAAGAAAAAUAUGUUCCAUUUUUAAAUAAUAAUUUUAACGCUUUCUUAAUAAUAAUAAAUUUCACGUUUAAUCGAAUUAAAGUUCAUAUCUUUAAGUCGAAUAUACUUCUUUAGAAAAUUUACAUGACUUUCGAAAGGCAAGAUAUACAGAUAUAGGAGAAAGUUACUUAUUUAAUGUUUUUUAAUCUGUUUUAUCUAGAUAAUAGAAUUAUUAAUUUAUUGGAAUUAUGAAUGUUUUAUGAUACGUCUAAUGUAUAUUGCAUUAGCUGGUACUAGGCUACUAAAUCACUGUUUUAUGUGCCAAUACAUAGAUAAAUUAUCGCCAAAUGUACUAAUCACACUCGAUUGAUAUCUCAUUAUAAUAUAAUGCAAAUUUAAGUUUGUUGAUAUUUAUAUUGUUAUAAAUAAAAGCAGCUGUUUCAAUAUUACUUUAUAUAUUUUAUAUAAAGGUUGUGUUAUAUGUAUUACUUUAUCGGUAGCAAGUUAGGCCUGAAUUUGAAACGUGAAUUUCAAGCGAAAUCCUGCCAAAUCCUCUAAAUUUACCUUAGUUUUUAAUAAAUAUAUUUGUAAUGUAAUACAAUUACACAAGUUGAUGCACAUUUCAUAUGAUAUGCCUAGCUCAAUAAGUGUCGUCACUAAAAUUAUUGUGUAAAUAUCGUCAAUAAAAUAUUAUGUAAAAUGUGUUAA